AUAUGGCAGAUAUUUGGUAAAGAUUAGAUAAAGAUAUAUUUGUUAGAUUAUACAAGGUUUAAAUCUUUGGAAGCUAUAUUUAGUAAAUUGAAACAUAUAUAUAGAGUCAAUUAUCUUGCUCUCAAAAUGCACUUCUCUUCUGUAUUCUAUCUUGUUGUACAUACCUAAAGUCAUCAAUGAUAAAACUUUUAGCCAAUAUUCUUCCUU